UACGGAGGAUCCAAGCGUUAUCCGGAUUCAUUGGGUUUAAAGGGUGCGUAGGCGGCCCGGUAAGUCAGUGGUGAAAUCUCCUUGCUUAACAAGGAAACUGCCAUUGAUACUGCUGGGCUUGAGUACAGAUGCUGUGGGCGGAAUAUGACAUGUAGUGGUGAAAUACAUAGAGAUGUCAUAGAACACCGAUUGCGAAGGCAGCUCACAAAACUGUAACUGACGCUGAGGCACGAAAGUGCGGGGAUCAAACAGG
rnacentral:rRNA from 1 species